rnacentral:tRNA from 1 species
AUUUUAUUAGUAUAAAAUAGUAUAAUUGUUUUCCAAACAAUAGGUUUAGAUAAUUUAAAUAAAAUA